rnacentral:lncRNA from 1 species
CCCCCUCUUGCCCCCAAUUUAGUUUACCUGUUAUCAGUGGAUUACUAGUGUGUUCCAAAGAUGGAAGGAGUACCUCGGGGGCUCCGGCGUCUGCUCUGGGCUGGAGAAAAAGAAAGCUGUUGGGGCUUUGACGGCUUUGUCUUCUCACUCCCUCUCUUCUGUGGCUGAGUCUAUCUGCUCAGUCUCCCCCUGCAAUGCAGCCCCUCCUAAGAAGGGCGGAAGGACUCCCCGCCCCCUCCUUGCCUGACUCGGCUAAUUCAAAUGAUAGGUUCCAGAACACUUUAGGGAGGGAGACAGGAUUAAAGCAUCUCCGUAGGCUUAUUGGUCGGCACAAUUAUUCCCGAGCUCAUUGCACCCCCAUGCUGACUGGGGUGCAAUGAAUUAGCAGUUAAUUGUCCCCUAAUUUUAGGCUUAUGGAUUAAAAAGCUUAGCUCUAGAUAACAAUAGAGUGUCCCUUUAUUCCCCAAUUUAAGGAUUUCAAGUUACGGUGCUUUAUUUUUGAGAAUCAGAAAAAUCCUCCACCCCUCCCUCCAAUCCCUACUUUUCCGACUCGCCUCCGCANUGGGGGGGGCGUUGCGCUUCUGCGAAUCUCUAAACUUGGCUGGGUCCGGGGCAUCUGGGGGCUCCGAUCAGUGUUGCCCCGCAAUGCCUGGCGCGCGAAGGGGACUGCGGGCAGCGCAGCUUGGGGGCCGGCUCAGGAGAGCCCCUCGCGGGCUCCACGUUCGCCGUUCGCGCAGCGGGGGCUGCGGCCGUCGGCGGCCAGGCCCCCUCCCACGGCCCCGCGUGGUGCAGUGCCUCACCAGUCCAGGGGGGAGCAGUGCGCCCAGCGCCGGGCCGGACGGGUUUCGUAAUCGCGUCGCCGCCGUUUCCGCCCUGAGCCAGCCCCACCUCUGCCGGCCCGCCCUCGGCUCCCCCGCCGCGCCGCGGAGCCAGCCCGGGAAGCCCACACUGGCGGGCCCGGAGCCGGAGCCCCCCACCCGCUGCAGCCGCACGCCUCGAUGCCGGAGCGCGGCAGGGUUCUGCGUCUGA